rnacentral:tRNA from 1 species
AGAAUUUUAAGUUAAUGAAACUAAAAGCCUUCAAAGCUUUAAUUAAGAAUAAUC